CCAAGAGAGCCACCGCUAGGAGUGCCUGCACCGUUGGGUGCUAUUUCUGACUUGCUCCAGCUGCUGAACUGAACUGGUGACCUGCUGAUAUGAAUUAACUGCUGCUAUUUUGGAUAGUUUAACAAUUGUUAUGCAAGGAGUUAUCUCCAUUUAUUUUAUGUUACAAAUAAAUCAUCUCUAAAAUUAAUUACAGGCAGUGCACUUAUGACACCUAUGGGGAGUUCACUAGCGCUCAUCGCUAGAUUUCGCCAGGAGCCAUGGCGGGAGUCCAACUUGAAGCGCAGCACCCGCAGGUUGUGGGUACUAUUCUGAUUCUCGAGAGGAAGUUCACUUUGGAUUGAAAAAUAGUUCUAUCAGGACGCACAUGGAGCCCUCCAAUUGAAGAAGUUAUCUAGUCAGUUUGAAGCCUCCAUCUGUGAUGUGCGGCCCACGACUAGGAAGGCUUCCAUGCAGCCGCAGGGAGUCCUAACCAUUUGAAGUGUGAAGAAUAGCUGGACUCUCAUGCCCAGAUCAGUGUAGGUCUUCUUGGGGCUGACCGAGCACCUGGCUGCCGCAUUGGGGUUCAAAUAUAAUCAAACCAUCUUCACUUUUGUUGGGAAGUUCACUUCGGACAUAAUGGGAAGCUCAAUUUGCACACCGUGAAAGUUCAUUUCAUUUUAUUAUGAAACAAACUAAAUGGUAAUGGUGUAUCUUCACAAAAUACAUUUUCUGAAUGCUUUUGGAUACUCCAUUUUUUGAUAUUUGUAAGCCUAUAAGAUCUGAGAGAGGUGGAAAAGCAGUGGAGUUUUGAUAAAACACAGGAAUGAAACAUUGCAGUUGUAUUAUACUAUUAUGGUUAAUAGGCAAGUGAGGACACCAUGGACCUGCCGUGUGUGGAUGUAGCAGGGCAUGAGGUGGAGCAGGAGAGUCCCGUGCCGGUGUUGCACAAGGCUCGUUGGAACUCCGGAUUAGACAUAUGCAGUAGUUCACUUGCUCAUCGUGGGAAUGCCUCAUUCGGCAAAGACAGAAGUUCACUUACACGAUGAAGUAGGGGUGAUGCACCAGGUUCUGGAGUUAAGUUCUGCCAUUUUUCUGCAGUUUAGUUUAUUUGUUUCUCAGUUCAGUUUUUCCCUUUCCUGAAGUUCAGUUCAUCAUAAUGUGUCAAGUUCACUUGUCAUAAGCUAUGUGUUGUACUGUUGCCUGCAGGAUGACGUGCAAUUUCAAGGAAAGUAUGAUUUGUGGCAGGCUGUGAAUGGUAACCAGUAGGCGUAGUAAUAACAUGUAUAUCGCGUUUGACCUCUCUGAACCACCUUCAAGAUGUGCGCCUUACCAGCUUCAGGGGAUGACUGAGCGUGGCUCACUGAGUACUUCGCCAAGAGUUCUGCAUCCUGUUCUAGUUUGACCUCUCUUUAAUUUUUAUUUUUACAUUAUGGCGUGAUCUCCAGCCACGGCACAUUGAUGGAGGCAUGCGCCACAGCCUUGGACAUGCAAGUAUUUACAAAAUAAUGAUUAUGUUACUUGGCAACCUAAUGGUACUUCCAAAUAUGCAUCAAAACAAUGUCAGUGUGGGAGUUUUCUUUCAUUUUUUUGUUGUAAUAAUUUCACUUUGAUAUGACAGGCUGAUGUUUUUUCUGUCCUGGAGUUCACUUCCUACUUAUUUUUUAUCAACAA